rnacentral:rRNA from 1 species
AUGGCUUGCUUCCCUUGGCCAAUGGAAUCCAUUGCCAAACUUGAAAGCUUGAUCAGGGGGUUCUUCUGGCUGGGUAAGAUCUCGGCUAAAGGAGGUCAGUGCCUCGUAGCAUGGCAGUCUGUUACUUUGCCAAGGACGUCUGGUGGUCUGGGAGUCUGGGAUUUGGCUGCACACAAUCAAGCGAUGCCGUCUAAGUUUGUUGCAAGAGUUCUGCAGUUCUCUGAUGUCCCUUGCUACCAAUGGUUAGCUCAUCAAUACUGUCAGAACAACAUGCCCUUGAAGAGAUGGAAUCAGGACUCUGCCAUUUGGAAAGGCUUCAAGCAGUUUAUUCCGCUAAUCUUAGCCUCCUCUCGGUGCUCCUUGGGAUCUGGCACGACGAUAUCCUUCUGGCAUGAUUGUUGGCUGCCUGUAGGCCGGCUUUGCUUUGUUUUGCCCACCCUCUUCAGCUUUGCUCAUGGCUGCUGCACUGUCACCUCUCAGUUCCAUCAGGGUAGAUGGCGCAUCCUGCUACACCCAAACCUAUCUUCUACGGCUGUCCAAGAGCUGCGCUUCCUAUGCGAUCUGUUGGCCGCUCUCAUGCCAUCCUCUAGCCAUGUCGAUGUACGCUCGUCUGCUCUUCAAAAUAAGGCAGUCACUACAUCAUACAUAUACAUGCUACUCACCUUCAGAGGGAUUUCUUCUAUUAUUAGUCCUUGGAUCUGGGAACCCGUCAUCCCUUUGAAGCACCGCAUCUUCCUGUGGCUGGCUUUUCGAGGGCGACUAAACUCACGUGACAACAUGGUCAAGAAGCACUGGACAUCCAUUACCGCGCACCAGGAUUGUGAUAUUUGCCCUGCUUGUGAAUCUAUUGAUCAUAUUGUCCUCCGCUGUUCUCCAGCUUCGAUACUAUGGGACUCGCUGCACAUGACAAAUCUUGCCAACUGUUCCACAGAUCUGCUCAUCGGCUUCAUGCAGGAGGCGCUGCAUGCCUGUCCUCCCUCUAGCAGAUUUUCGUUGAUGUUUGCUGCGGCUGCUGUCACCCUCUGGCACUCAAGGAAUGAUCGUGUUUUCAACAACAAGCAAUGGUCUCCUACCUACAUCAAACUAUAUGCUGUGCAGUUGCUAACUUUGUGGAAGAAUAGAGCACGGAAAACAGCUGAUCAAGAUGCUCUGGCGGCUUGGAUACAAUGGUUGUCCCCUGCUUAUGCUAGCCUGCUACCUUUGCCUCCCUGA